rnacentral:lncRNA from 1 species
CGGAUUUUAAGAGUAGAACGAUAUUUUCGUAUAAAUCAACUGUCAAACUGGGAGAAAUUAGAAGCAGCGACAGUAUGCUUCGAAGGAGAAGCGUUAGCUUGGUAUCAAUGGGAGGAAAGCCGGCAACCUGUGCGUCGAUGGGAGGACUUAAAGACCUUAGUAUUGGAGAGGUUUCUCCCAUCACAGGAGGGUACUCAGUUGGAGAAACUGCUUGCGCUUAAGUGGGAAGGGUCCGUUCAGGAUUACCGGCGUGCUGAAGUGCAAUUUCGUCAAUGGAUUAACUCCCAUUAUACGGGCUGAAAUAAGAAUGUUGAAGCCUCGUGGGUUAGCCCACACCAUGGUGCUAGCCCAACGGGUCGAAGACAUGAAUGAAGCAAUUGGCAUGGCCCAACUACAAUUAGGAGUAAUAUAAACAGCACUGCCUACAGCCCGUUUAAUUACUCCCAAAACUCUCAGAAUGUAAAUACGACCUCACUCCAGCGACUUCUAGCAGCACCUUUGAAGCCCUUGACCCCCAACCCAUGCGGUCCAGUAACCGAAAAAGGGGGGACACCAUACUAAAGAUUGAUAGAUGCGGAUCUUCAGCUAAAGGGGGAGAAAGGAUUAUGUUAUAAAUGUGAUGAGAAAUACCAACCGGGACACAAGUGCCGCCUCAAGGAGUUGCACGUCCUUGUUGUUCAAGAUGAGGAAGGGUUGGAAGUGUUGGGAAUCUACUUAUACAUGCACAGCGGAAAAUUAAAUUAUUUCGAUUCCCACCCAAUAGAUCUCAUUGUGUUUGGUUAGGAAUUGUGAUAAGAUUGUACCUUUUC